rnacentral:rRNA from 1 species
GGGAAUAUUGCACAAUGGGCGGAAGCCUGAUGCAGCGACGCCGCGUGAGGGAUGACGGCCUUCGGGUUGUAAACCUCUUUCAGCAGGGAAGAAGCCACAAGUGACGGUACCUGCAGAAGAAGCGCCGGCUAACUACGUGCCAGCAGCCGCGGUAAUACGUAGGGCGCAAGCGUUGUCCGGAAUUAUUGGGCGUAAAGAGCUCGUAGGCGGUUUGUCGCGUCUGCUGUGAAAGCCCGGGGCUCAACCCCGGGUCUGCAGUGGGUACGGGCAGACUAGAGUGCAGUAGGGGAGACUGGAAUUCCUGGUGUAGCGGUGAAAUGCGCAGAUAUCAGGAGGAACACCGAUGGCGAAGGCAGGUCUCUGGGCUGUUACUGACGCUGAGGAGCGAAAGCAUGGGGAGCGAACAGGAUUAGAUACCCUGGUAGUCCAUGCCGUAAACGUUGGGCACUAGGUGUGGGGGACAUUCCACGUUCUCCGCGCCGUAACUAACGCAUUAAGUGCCCCGCCUGGGGAGUACCGGCCGCAAGGCUAAAACUCAAAUGAAUUG